rnacentral:tRNA from 1 species
CCGACCUUAGCUCAGUUGGAAGAGCACGAGACUGUAAUUGGUUAUAUGGUGUUAUCUCGGGGUCGCCUGUUCGAACCAGGCAGGUCGGA